ACCUACCUUUGUUCAUUAUCAAUAAUUUUUUGUUCAUGAAGACGCCGCGCGGUUUCACCCUGUGUGGUUCCCAUUUCCGUAAGAAUAUGGGGAUAAAAUAUAGCCUAUAGAGCUCGGGAAUAGUGUAGCUUCCCAACAGUGAAAGAAUUUUUUAAAUUGGUUCAGUAGUUCCAGAGCCUAUUCAAAACAUACAAACAAACAAAUCUUUUCUGUUUCUAUUAUUAGUAAAGAUAAAUUAGGAGUAGAUAUAAAACCAAUUAGCCCAGUGGGUAUGACCUCUGCCUUUGAUUAUGAUGGUGUAAGUUCCCAACAGUGAUAGAAUCUUUCAAAUCAGUUCAGUAGUUACAGAUCCUAUUCAAAACAAACAAACAAAUUUUUCCUGUUUAUAAUAUUAGUAUAGAUAAAUUAGGAGUAGGUCAAAAUCCAUAUAGCCCAGUAGAUAUGACCUCUGCCUUCUAUUCGGAGGGUGUAGGUUCAAAUGCUGUCUGAAACAUGCACCUCCAAAUCAUUUCAGUUAUGUGCAUUUUAUGAAUUUAAAUGUAUAUUACAUGUCUCAUACGGUGAAGGAAAAACAUUGUCUCUACAUGUGUGAAGUCCAAUUCACAUUGGGCCAGUGUGGUGGACCUUAUCCCUCUCAUUCUGAGAGGAGACUCAUGCUUAACAUACUCAUGAUGAAGAAUUUAAUUAGUUUGUUUGUUUGUAAUCUAACCUAUAUAAAUGUUAGGUAUACCUAUCUAGUUUUGAUUUAGGAAAUAUAUAACCUACAUAAAUGUAACUAACAUAAUGUUUAUUUUCAGACUGUAGGUGCAGUCCAUCAAGCAUUCUAUGAAAUAACAGAAAUGCCACAAGUCAAGCUGUAUUGAUGGCACGCAUAGGUAUACAUAUAAACAACCCCGGAGGACCCUAUGCACAGAUUUAAAGAAACCGGCUAUCAUGGCAGGGAAUAGCAGUGAUGAGCUCUGAGAAUACUGUUUUACCAAGAAUACUGAGAAUACUUUGGUCCUUGAAAGUCCGAGUUUUCAGAUCACAGUAAUUGGAAGACCCACAUACCUUGAAAAGUCAGCAGCAUUUAAUAUCGAGGUAGUAGGAGUGAGUGCAGUAUGUUGUAAAGUCCAUAACGAUAGAAAAUGUAUACAAAUCUUAAUUGAAUGAAAUUUAUUGAUUCACAUCUAUAAUAAAGAUAUUUAUUACUUCUGCAUUUUUCAUUUAAGUCUGGCCCUAUAAAAAUAUACAAUAAUAACAAUAAGUUAUAUGUAAAAUUUGUAUUUAUUGUUGUUAUUAAUUAAACUUUGUAUCAAAAGGAUAUAGGUUUGAUUUUAGAAUUGCAAUAAGUACUGUGUGGUUCAUUAUUAUCAGCCCAUUACCGGGCCAAGCCUACCUCCUAAAUAUAUAAUAUUAUGUAAUCUAAAGCUUUGUGAAAUGCAAUUUUACCACUAUUCCUAAGGAUAAGCUACACUUAUAUUUAUUUACUGCACUUACUAUAAAUUGUAAGAAAAUACAGCAUAAUAGUACCUACUUGUAAUUAUUUCAGGUAAUUAUAGGUGGUUUUGAGCAAAAUAAACAAAUUUCCUCUUACAACAAUUUUUUUAUUUCAAGUAGGAUUCCACAUUACAAAAGUAUGAAAUAUCAAACUACUUAUAUAGUAAAUAGUAUGCUUGGGAUUUCUCUGCGUGAUCGUAUCACAAAUGAGGAGAUCCGCAGACAAACCAAAGUCACUGACAUAGGUAGCACAGCGAGUCGUGAAGCUGAAGUGGCAAUGGGCAGGCCACAUAGAUCGAAGAGCCGAUGAAAUCGCAGUGUUGGUCGAACCCCCACUAGGUGGACCGAGGGCAUCAAGCGGGUUGCAGGGAGCCGCUGGACGCUGGCGGCUCGAGACCGUUGUGUUUGAAAGUCCAUGCAAGACGGCUAUGUCCAGCAGUGGACGUCCAUCGGCUGAUAAUUUUGUAUAUGAUCAUGUUCGUCCACAUAACUUCAAUAUUUUUCUAACAACUCCUUCUUGUGAGAAAGAAACUUUUUGAUAAAAUUGACCUAUUGUACACUUGAACGAAUUAAAUUUUACUACGACAAAUAAAAACAAAAAGUAAAUGAAAAUAUUAGAAACUCAAUUAUUUUGUAAAAUGUCAAAGAAUUAACAAAAUACGUCUCUCUGUGGUUGUGUCACAGAAUUUUCAAAGAUCUAAUGUAAAAUCAUAGACAACAUUUGCUUGAAACUCCAGUCACCUAGGGGCUCUCCAGUAGUUUGUUUAUGAAAUGCAAUGAAGGAUGAUUCAAUAGUCAGCCCCUGGGUGAAUACUGAAUAUUGGUUUGUGGGGGAUUGUUCACUUCACGACUAUGAAUUCCAGGGGUAGUAGGGGGCCCCUAAGGGGAUUAUUCAGCCGCUAUGUGUCGAAUUCAACCCCUACGCGUUUCAUAGACAAAAGAAACCCCUCAUUUGACAGGAGCUGGCGGCUGACUGCUGAAUUACCGAUAUUCGUCAGCCAAACCAUCCCCUGGCAUUUUUUUUUGUUGUUAUUCGUGAUUUAUUUAUUAGAAAGUGGACGUUCGGAUCGUUAUAAGUGAAGUUAUAAACAGCGAGUUAUAUCAGUGCCCAAGAUAUAUAUUCGCAAUUGCGUAAACCCAUUAUAAUACUAUGGCGAUAUGGAAUGUACGAAAGAUUCUCAUAUUAGGCAUAAUAUGCCUCUGUUUGAUGAAGAAUGAACACAGAAGACCAAAAGAGGAAUACCAAUACCGCUAGUAUUAUACAUUCUAGCAGCACUUCGAUUCUAUGAAACGGGAUGUUAUCAGGUACGUACCUUUGUUCAUUAUCAAUAAUUUUUUGUUCAUGAAGACGCCGCGCGGUUUCACCCUGUAUGGUUCCCAUUUCCGUAAGAAUAUGGGGAUAAAAUAUAGCCUAUAGAACUCGGGGAUAGUGUAGCUUCCCAACAGUGAAAGAAUUUUUUUAAUUGGUUCAGUAGUUCCAGAGCCUAUUCAAAACAUACAAACAGACAAAUCUUUCCUGUUUCUAUUAUUAGUAAAGAUAAAUUAGGAGUAGAUAUAAAACCAAUUAGCCCAGUGGGUAUGACCUCUGCCUUUUAUUAUGAUGGUGUAGGUUCCCAACAGUGAUAGAAUCUUUCAAAUCAGUUCAGUAGUUACAGAUCCUAUUCAAAACAAACAAACAAAUUUUUCCUGUUUAAUAUUAGUAUAGAUAAAUUAGGAGUAGGUCAAAAUCCAUAUAACCCAGUAGAUAUGACCUCUGCCUUCUAUUCGGAGGGUGUAGGUUCAAAUGCUGUCUGAAACAUGCACCUCCAAAUCAUUUCAGUUAUGUGCAUUUUAUGAAUUUAAAUGUAUAUUACAUGUCUCAUAUGGUGAAGGAAAAACAUUGUCUCUACAUGUGUAAAGUCUGCCAAUUCACAUUGGGCCAGCGUGGUGGACCUUAUCCCUCUCAUUCUGAGAGGAGACUCAUGCUUAACAUACUCAUGAUGAAGAAUUUAAUUAGUUUGUUUGUUUGUAAUCUAACCUAUAUAAAUGUUAGGUAUACCUAUCUAGUUUUGAUUUAGGAAAUAUAUAACCUACAUAAAUGUAACUAACAUAAUGUUUAUUUUCAGACUGUAUGUGCAGUCCAUCAAGCAUUCUAUGAAAUAACAGAAAUGCCAAAAGUCAAGCUGUAUUGAUGUCACAAAUAGGUAUACAUAUAAACAACCCCGGAGGACCCUAUACACAGAUUUAAAGAAACCGGCUAUCAUGGCAGGGAAUAGCAGUGAUGAGCUCUGAGAAUACUGUUUUACCAAGAAUACUGAGAAUACUUUGGUUCUUGAAAAUCCGAGUUUUCAGAUCACAGUAAUUGGAAGACCCACAUACCUUGAAAAGUCAGCAGCAUUUAAUAUCAAGGUAGUAGGAGUGAGUGCAAUAUGUUGUAAGGUGGUCACUCACUCUGAAGUCCAUAACAAUAGAAAAUGUAUACAAAUCUUAAUUGAAUGAAAUUUAUUGAUUCACAUCUUUAAUAAAGAUAAUUAUUAAAUGUUUACUUCUGCAUUUUUCAUUUAAGUCUGGCCCUAUAAAAAUAUACAAUAAUAACAAUAAGUUAUAUGUAAAUUAUGUAUUUAUUGUUGUUAUUAAUUAAACUUUGUAGGUAUCAAAAGGAUAUAGGUUUGAUUUUAGAAUUGCAAUAAGUACAGUGUGGUUCAUUAUUAUCAGCCCAUUACCGGGCCAAGCCUACCUCCUAAAUAUAUAAUAUUAUGUGAUCUAAAGCUUUGUGAAAUGCAAUUUUACCACUAUUCCUAAGGAUAAGCUACACUUAUAUUUAUUUAUUGCACUUACUAUAAAUUGUAAGAAAAUACAGCAUAAUAGUACCUACUUGUAAUUAUUUCAGGUAAUUAUAGGUGGUUUUGAGUAAAAUAAACAAAUUUCCUCUUACAAUAAUUUUUUUAUUUCAAGUAGGAUUCCACAUUACAAAAGUAUGAAAUAUCAAACUACUUAUAUAGUAAAUAGUAUGCUUGGGAUUUCUCUGCGUGAUCGAAUCACAAAUGAGGAGAUCCGCAGACAAACCAAAGUCACUGACAUAGGUAGCACAGCGAGUCGUGAAGCUGAAGUGGCAAUGGGCAGGCCACAUAGUUCGAAGAGCCGAUGAAAUCGCAGUGUUGGUCGAACCCCCACUAGGUGGACCGAGGGCAUCAAGCGGGUUGCAGGGAGCCGCUGGACGCUGGCGGCUCGAGACCGUUGUGUUUGAAAGUCCAUGCAAGACGGCUAUGUCCAGCAGUGGACGUCCAUCGGCUGAUAAUUUUGUAUAUGAUCAUGUUCGUCCACAUAACUUCAAUAUUUUUCUAACAACUCCUUCUUGUGAGAAAGAAACUUUUUGAUAAAAUUGAUCUAUUGUACACUUGAACGAAUUAAAUUUUACUACGAUAAAUAAAAACAAAAAGUAAAUGAAAUAUUAGAAACUCAAUUAUUUUGUAAAAUGUCAAAGAAUUAACAAAAUACGUCUCUCUGUGAUUGUGUCACAGAAUUUUCAAAAAUCUAAUGUAAAAUCAUAGACAACAUUUGCUUGAAACUCCAGUCACCUAGGGGCUCUCCAGUAGUUUGUUUAUGAAAUGCAAUGAAGGAUGAUUCAAUAGUCAGCCCCUGGGUGAAUACUGAAUAUUGGUUUGUGGGGGAUCGUUCACUUCACGACUAUGAAUUCCAGGGAUAGUCGUAGUAGGGGGCCCCUAAGGGGAUUAUUCAGCCGCUAUGUGUCGAAUUCAACCCCUACGCGUUUCAUAGACAAAAGAAACCCCUCAUUUGACAGGAGCUGGCGGCUGACUGCUGAAUUACCGAUAUUUGUCAGCCAAACCAUCCCCUGACAUUUUUUUUUGUUGUUAUUCGUGAUUUAUUUAUUAGAAAGUGGACGUUCGGAUCGUUAUAAGUGAAGUUAUAAACAGCGAGUUAUAUCAGUGCCCAAGAUAUACCUAUAUUCGCAAUUGCGUAAACCCAGUAUAAUACUAUGGCGAUAUGGAAUGUACGAAAGAUUCUCAUAGUAGGCAUAAUAUGUCUCUGUUUGAUGAAGAAUGAACACAGAAGACCAAGAGAGGAAUACCAAUACCGCUAGUAUUAUACAUUCUAGCAGCACUUCGAUUCUAUGAAACGGGAUGUUAUCAGACUGUAGGUGCAGUCCAUCAAGCAUUCUAUGAAAUAACAGAAAUGCCAAAAGUCAAGCUGUAUUGAUGUCACGCAUAGGUAUACAUAUAAACAAUCCCGGAGGACCCUAUACACAGAUUUAAAGAAACCGGCUAUCAUGACAGGGAAUAGCAGUGAUGAGCUCUGAGAAUAGUGUUUUACCAAGAACACUGAGAAUACUUUGGUCCUUGAAAAUCUGAGUUUUCAGAUCACAGUAAUUGGAAGACCCUCAUACUUUGAAAAGUCAGCAGCAUUUAAUAUCGAAGUAGUAGGAGUGAGUGCAGUGUAUUGUAAGGUUGUCACUCACUCUGAAGUCCAUAACAAUAGAAAAUAUAUACAAAUCUUAAUUGAAUGAAUGAUGGAAAAUAAAAAUUUAUUGAUUUACAUCUUUAAUAAAGAUAAUUAUUAAAUGUUUACUUCUGCAUUUUUCAUUUAAGUCUGGCCCUAUAAAAAUAAACAAUAAUAACAAUAAGUUAUAUGUAAAUUAUGUAUUUAUUGUUGUUAUUAAUUAAACUUUGUAUCAAAAGGAUAUAGGUUUGAUUUUAGAAUUGCAAUAAGUGUGUGUGGUUCAUUAUUAUCAGCCCACUACCAGGCCCAGCUUACCUACUAAAUACAUAUAUAAUAUUAUGUGAUCUAAAGCUUUGUGAAAUGCAAUUUUACCACUAUUCCUAAGGAUAAGCUACACUUAUAUUUAUUUACUGCACUUACUAUAAAUUGUAUAAAAAAUACAGCAUAAUAGUACCUACUUGUAAUUAUUUCAGGUAAUUAUAGGUGGUUUUGAGUAAAAUAAACAAAUUUCUUCUGACAAUAUUUUUUUUAUUUCAAGUAGGAUUCCACAUUACAAAAGUAUGAAAUAUCAAACUACUUAUAUAGUAAAUAGUAUGCUUGAGAUUUCUCUGCGUGAUCGAAUCACAAAUGAGGAGAUCCGCAGACAAACCAAAGUCACUGACAUAGGUAGCACAGCGAGUCGUGAAGCUGAAGUGGCAAUGGGCAGGCCACCUAGUUCGAAGAGCCGAUGAAAUCGCAGUGUUGGUCGAACCCCCACUAGGUGGACCGAGGGCAUCAAGCGGGUUGCAGGGAGCCGCUGGACGCUGGCGGCUCAAGACCGUUGUGUUUGAAAGUCCAUGCAAGACGGCUAUGUCCAGCAGUGGACAUUCAUCGGCUGAUAAUUUUGAUUAUGAUCAUGUUCGUCCACAUAUCUUCAAUAUUUUUCUAACAACUCCUUCUUGUGAGAAAGAAACUUUUUGAUAAAAUUGAUCUAUUGUACUCUUGAACGAAUUAAAUUUUACUAUGAUAAAUAAAAACAAAAAAUAAA